UAAGCAGGGUAGGACAAGAAGAAGACGACGCAACCGCAACCAGAGGAGGCAGAUUAUCAAGGACGGAUGGGCAGAUUAUGAAGGAGAAGUGGUAAGGUCUGAAGACAUAUAGCUUGAACAGAAUUAUCCUGAGUAGACCGUAGCACCAAGUCAGGUGUGGAGAGAAAAGAUAACUAUACACGAAGAAGAGGCACCGCCGGAAGCACCGACUACGCCACCCAACGAAUCCCAUGACAACUAGAAAAUAGAGAGUCCCGUUCGGAGGACUUAAAAACACCGAACGCCUUGCCAAGAGGUAAACUUGGUAGUUAGCCGUUUCCUUUCAAUUAUUUCAAAUAGUUUGCUUAGUUAAUCAUGUUCAUACUAUCUUAAAAAGAAAAUAAAAAUGUUAAAACUAGUAAGCCCCAUGUGAGUAUACGAGUGGCAUAAAACCCAUAAGUACAUUCACUGUGGUGGCAUAAAAAUAAAAUAAAUAUUUUUUCUGCUCUAUAAAAUGAAAAUAUAAAGAGAGUAACAUUUAUUGAGGAGGCUCAACAUGAUAAAGGCUAGAUAUUUAUGCUAACACUUAAUCAGUUCCACAAAGCUUUGUUGUCUAUUUGAGCUCCACAUAAUUCAAGAAUCAAGAAGACUAGCAGACAGAGGACAUUCUAAUCGCUGUCAGGGUACUGCCGACUUUCAAAUACACCUCUGCCACCUACUAGCUACAUCAGAAGAAAUUACGUCAAAAUUUAGCUUGG
rnacentral:lncRNA from 1 species